AACAACCAAAAAAAUAAUCCAAUUCAAGAAGGCUUCUUCCAUAACAAAGAUUCCAUUUCAUAGCUUUCUCUUCUUAGUUGAAUCUUUCGAUCUUAAUUAAAUGAUCCGAUCUUAGUUAAACGAUCUUGGGAAGAAUCUUUCGAUCUUAAUUAUACAAUCCGAUCUUAGUUAAACGAUCUUGGGCUAGCAGAAGGUUUCCCCAGCUACACCUUUCUUAUGCUAUUCUCUACAGAAACAGCAUGGGCUAGCAGAAGGUUUCCCCAGCUACACCUUUCUUAUGCUAUUCUCUACAGAAACAGCAUGGUACGUAAUAGUGAUUAUAUAAUACUAAAAGAGAAAUCAUAGAAUAAUAUGAGAAAAAAUCAUAGAAUAAUAUGAGAAGAAGGUAACUGGAAAGAGAUGAAAUACUAAUUAAGCCAAAGACUUCGACAUAAUUGCAUUACCUAUGUUGCUCCUACAAUCACUAUUUAUCAAUCCGAAUUCCAAAUAUAACCACUUAAUUUAGUGUUGCAUGCUGUGUCAAUAAUGAUCCAGGCCAAUUCAUAAUAACUAGUGAGAUAGUGUAAUUAAAUAUUUUAGAUGAAUUAUACCCCUAUCAUUUAAAAUUAUAAUAUAAAAUCAUAACUUAUUGCAUAUUGUUCUUCGCAUUUUCAAGAAAUCUUUUCAUAAGACUUCUUCACUGAAAAUUUUAGAAACUCCUUGAGGGGAGAAGGUAGAAUUUUCUAUCAAUUGAGAAGGGAUCAAGGGAAAAUAACUACACCAAAAUUCUAUAAAAGAACUCCUUUUAUCGAACAAUAUCAUGCAAUUUUUUUUUAAAAUAUCUACUAUUGUAUAUCUAUUCUCAAUUGUUUUAUCUCAUUGAUUACAUCCAUCUUAUAUUGGGAUUAAAUUAUUGGUCGAAUUGGUUGACAAUCUUUUAGGACCAAUUAAAUUAGAGAAAAGACAUAUUUCCCCCCGAACUUGUCCUCCAAAUUCACUUUAGCACUUAAACUUAACUUUUAUUUAUUUACCCCUUAACAUCUUUAAAGUGUAUUUGUUUCACCCCUCAAAGCUGAAUACCACUUUCUCAACGGAGAGUGGGUUACACACGCGCCAUGUCAGUGCCAAAUUAAUGCCACAUCAGUUCCAGGUCAAUGCCACGUAGGAAAUUAGGAUUUAAAAAAAAAAAUCCCACACAUACUAUUUUUAUGUAUUUUUGUUUUAAAAAGCAAAAAAUAUAUAUUUACUAUUUAUAUAUAUAUAUAUAUAUUAAAUAAUAUAUAUAUAUAUAUAUAAAUAAUAUAUAUAUGUANNNNNNNNNNNNNNNNNNNNNNNNNNNNNNNNNNNNNNNNNNNNNNNNNNNNNNNNNNNNNNNNNNNNNNNNNNNNNNNNNNNNNNNNNNNNNNNNNNNNNNNNNNNNNNNNNNNNNNNNNNNNNNNNNNNNNNNNNNNNNNNNNNNNNNNNNNNNNNNNNNNNNNNNNNNNNNNNNNNNNNNNNNNNNNNNNNNNNNNNNNNNNNNNNNNNNNNNNNNNNNNNNNNNNNNNNNNNNNNNNNNNNNNNNNNNNNNNNNNNNNNNNNNNNNNNNNNNNNNNNNNNNNNNNNNNNNNNNNNNNNNNNNNNNNNNNNNNNNNNNNNNNNNNNNNNNNNNNNNNNNNNNNNNNNNNNNNNNCUUCCAGCCCCCCACCCUCCCCUCUUCUUUCUUAUUCAAACACAAAAAUACUUUCAUCAAGUUAAAAUUAAUUUUUUCAAAUUGUCUUACGAACAAAAAAAUUCAAAAGUAAAAAUCAAAAGAAAUCUCAUUAAUGAUAAGUGAUUCAAAAAUAAAAUCAUCAAUAUAAUUUAAUUUUUUUCUAAAUUUUGAGGGAGUUGGAUUGAAGGUUGGGAUGGUGUUCAAUGGAGAAAGUUAUUUAAUAGUGUUUUCAUGUUUGUUCUUGAGUGGUGUUAAUGGAGGAAAGUGAAAAAAAUUAAAGGAAAGUGUUGUUCUUGGGUGGUGUUGUUAAUGGAGGAAAGUGAAAAAAAUUACAGAAAAGUGUUUGUAAAUGGAGGAAAGUAAAAAAAAUUUGAGGUUGUUAAUGGAGGUUUGGGUGUUGUUGUUGAUGAUGAUUUGAAGAAGAAAGAAGAAAAAAGUGUCCAUUUUUUAUUUUAAUUUUAAUUUUAAUUUUUUUAAAAAAAAUUUUAAUUAUAUUUUAAAUAUAAUAUUAUUGAAAUUAAUUUUUUUAAUAAAUAAACGCACCCUUUUUUUUAAAAAAAUAUCACGUCAGUUUUAGGAGUCAAACAAAUACACUUUAAAGAUGUUAAGGAGGUAAAUAAACGUAAGUUAAGUUGAAGUGUUAAAGUGAGCUUGGAGGACAAGUUCAUGUGGAAAAAGAUGUCUUUUCUCAUUAAAUUACUUUAGUAAAGGCACAUGAUCUUUUUUCCAAACAAGCACCAUUUUGAAUAGUCACGUCCUGUUUCUGAACAUGUAUUUCUUUUUUGAUGCUUGAGCUACCGCUACAUACUUCGACAAUAUGUUUAUCUAUUUUAUGUUAGAAGGAAAUAAUUCCACAUCUUCAAUACAAAAUGAUAAGGACCAAACUAUGAAAUGAAGAAACGGCGCAAAAAGGAAAACAAGAAAUUAAAGAAUGAAAAGAAAAUCGAUAUAGAUAGAUACAAAGUAGGAAAUUGAAAACAAAUAAAGGGUAUAUCAAAUCAUAAAUCCUCAAUUCGAUUACACUUAGUGAGCAUCUAACUCCUAUGUAGAACACAAGGAAAUUGAACUCCCAAGUAACCAACAUUUCAAAUCGAUUGUUCAACACAAGCUAAUCCUAACUCUCACACUCUCAAGUGUAUUCAUAAUAAUAUACAAAAACUACAAAAAAAUAAAGAAGAAAACUAUUCUUUAUAGCCAUGGGCUAUUUAUUACAAUUAUGGGCCAAAAAAUGACCCAUUUCAGCAAAUUAGAUAUCUGCCCGCAUAGAUGGGACACAUGUUGGUGCAUUUCUGGGCCUAGGUGGCUCCAAAUCAUCAAAUUAGGCACCUACUAGCGAAGACAGGUCACCUACUAGUGCAUGUCAGGGUGCAGGUGGCUUCAGAUCAUCACUCAGCUCCUUUUGAUUGCCCAAUGACCUCCCCAAUGGCUUCCUUAACUCCAAGCUACCCUCCUCACUUGGUAUUAUACUUUUGGGGAUUUGAAAAGAGUCCUCCAAACAUGUCUUUGUAUCCUUAAAAUAUUCAAGUCUUGGACCCCUCUAUGUUGGCCUUGAAUUGUAGAUAUUAAAAGAUUAUUGCCGAGUUAGCUUAUAUCAUUCUCUCCUUCCUGAAAAGGAUUCAUCCUCGAAUUUGAAUCCUGACAACACAUGAGAUAGACAAGCAACUAAUAUAUCCUCAAAGCAUGAGGGUUUGCACAAGGUUAGCAAUAAUAUUUUCAUGCCAAGAGGGCACACAUUUGGUAUACAACCAACUAUCCUUCGUUUUUAAUAAGAAUAGCUUAUUGUAUAUUGCACAAAGAUGUUGGAUAUCAUAGGCAUCACGAGCAAAGAAACUACAAAGGUCUUAAUGGAAUCAAGAACUUCAAAUGAUGAUAUCACAUUUAACUUUAUUGUUUCACCUUCUCCCAAGAAGAGUACACCACAAAAUGGUGCAAAUAACACAAAAGAUUCAUUUGUGUCAACACGUUGAAAGACCCUUAUACUUCUAGCUCUAUAAGAAACAAAUCCUAUACCAACUUGGGUAUCAUCAUAAGGAAAGAGAUAGUACAGGAAGGAAUCAAAAUUACAAGUCUCAUCCAAGUGAUAUCCAUAUGCAAGAGUACUAAUUUGCUCAAGAAAGCUAGCAGGUAACUUACCACAAGUUGGGACAACCAAAGAUGGAGCCAAGUCAUUAGGGUGCAAAUUACCAUUCAUUUCAAGAAAGCCCAAGCUCUCAAAAAAUGCAUUUUUAACUCAAGCAUGACUAUCAUCAUAGGUAAAGAGAUAUAAAAGAAAAGAGCUAAGAACGAUAUUGUCAUCUAAAGUGCUCUCAAAUAUAAGCACACAAGAAGGUCAGAAGAGAUAAUUUACAUACAUCACAUUUCUUUCCUUCAAGCAACUUCCCAAAAAAAUGUGCAUUCACUAAUGGAGUCAUGCUAUUAGAAGAAUUAGAGGAUCGAUGAGAAAUCAAUUCACUUCAAAUUCAUUAUUAUACCCAAGAAGUUAGGUUGCCUCUAUUAUCAAACUUUAGCAAAUUCCUAAAAGUCAUUCCUAUUGCUUCAACUUGUCCAACCACAUAAGUGUGACGAGGAUUAGGAAAUAAGAGUUAAGCACCAAGGACUCUUCGCAAAGCAAUAACUAGAUUGGGUAAUUGCAAAGUCCAUGCAAUUUAUGCAUAGUUAUCACAAAUCACGAAAAUGUUUGGGAGACGUUGAUACUUUCAUGAUAGGACAUAAAGUCAUACAACUUUAAGAAUUUUCCUACCAAAGGAAAAAUAUCAUCAUGACUCUAAGAAUUACUUGGAAUAAGAGGGUGUAGAUAAAUAACUUGGGAACAAGGCUUUGAGCUUGCUCUCUUGUCCUCCAUACAUGCAUCACCCGUACUUUCCCUUUCGUGCAAUGACUGGGACCAUUCUUGGUCCUCUUGAUUCUUUGUAGGAGGUAGAAAAUUCCUUCUUUCGAUCCUUGGGGUUAAAUGUUUCACCCCUUGUCAUCAAGUAUCCAUCAAUCCUUAGAAGUUGUUUUAGAAACCUUUAUUCAUCAACUUCGGAGUUCUUAGAUGGGAACGGAUCUAGGCUUUCAAUCCUAUGCUCGUAAGAGAUUUUCUUUGAAUUCUCAUAUUGGAGCAUUUGCUCAUGAUCCUAUAAAAGAGAAGUAUUGAUACAAGGUAAAAUGUUAAUACCAUGGUUAGAAUGUAACAAGGGCUUGGGAUUGAAAAGUUUCAUAGCUAAGUGUUCCUUGUUUGCCUCCUCCAAUUCUAUUCUUGGCUCAACAUUCACAACCAACUCCUCCUCUUAAGCCAAGUUUUUCUUUUCUUGCAUAAGGCUAUCUUCCAUGCUAAUGGUCUACCUUCUAUAAAGGUUAGAUGUACUUUCAUACUUUCCAAUAUUCGAUUUAUCUCCUCAAUUUGUUUCCAUAUAGACUUCAAUGUCUUACUCUUCAUGGGACUUGGACUUUCUUCGAUCAUGGUACCUAACAAGAAGAAACACUAACAAGAAAAUAAACAAGUUAGUGUUAAGGAAUCAACCUCACAAUCUCUCAAAGUACAUAACUUUGUUUGCCUCUCAAUAGGUGUCGCUAGCAUUGAAAGAUCGUUUCUACUUCAUUGAAAAACGUGGUGUCAAUUACUGCUCGUGGUCGGAAUAGAUUCUUAUUUGAAGAUGAAUAAAUGACUUAAAAUAAAAUAAUAUACUUGAAACAAGAAAUAACAACGAAACAAAAGAAAAGUGUUAAAGAAAUGGACAAAGAAAAAAAAAUAGACUCAAAGACUAAUUAAUCAACUAAGUAGAUCAAAUACUAACUGUUAAUUAAUUAGGAAUCAAGAAAUAAAUUUAAGAAUCAAGAAUUGAAACAAAGAUGAUGGAACCUGAGGAAAAUAAAAUUUGAGGCUGUUGAGAUGUGUUGGGGUGAGAUGUUGGCGCAGGUCAUGACAUGUCAUCGCAGAUGGGGGUCGCAUGUUACAAAAUAGAUUCUGAAAAAUUGACUUGCAUUAGGUCACCUGCUGGCAUAGAUGCCCACUAGAGAGCGCAGGUGUCCCGGGCAGACACCUGAAGCCUCCGUUUUCAAGUCUUUUGUGGACCCUCUUGUACUCUCUUUCCUAGUACCUUUCCUUUUUAGAUUAUUUCUUUGAUAUUAACACUUUCUUUUACUUUUCUGGGGCUCUUUUUGGGAUCUAACAACAACUUUUAUUGAAUCUUUUUCUUGAAGAUGUGAAUUUCUUCAAGAACACCAAGAACUCAAAAUUUUCAAACUAACUCAUUUUUGCUCUGAAUUGCAUGAAAUUUCAGAUUUAUGUUUCCUUCAACGUGGAGAAAUUUCACACUCAAAUAUUCAAAAUUUGUAAAUCCAUUUGUAAUUUUCUUCAACUUCAAAGCUCAAAAAUGGUGGAUCUUCCAAAACCUCUUCAAAUAACAUCAAAUUUCAGAUAUAAGGUCCUUUUAUUAUGAGAAUUACUUUCUAGUAACCCUUAUCCUUCAAUUUCAACCCAAAUUUGAUAAAUCUAAGAACCCACUUCAUUUUUUUCUCAAUGUUCAAGAACUCAACAAUGAAUUUCUCCAAACAUACUCAAAUCAAGUCCAAAAUUCAGAUUCCGACUCAAAUAACCCCAGAGAAAACUAAUCUAGUGUUGAAACUUCAAGAAAAACUCAAAAAUCUUUUUGGGAAUUUUAACUAAAAGCACUCUUCUUCUUUUUCUUUUCUUUUCUGUUGACUUUCUAAGGUAACAAUAAUCCCAAGAUUAGAAUCGUGGGAACGAAGAGUAUAUCAAAUCCUAAAUUCUCAAUCUAAUUAAUUCUAGUUAGCACCUAACUCCUUCGUAGAUCAUAAGAAAAUUCAACUCCUAGGUAACCAACGUUUCAACAAGAUUGUUCAACACAAGAUAAUUCUAACUCUCACACUCUCAAGUGUAUUCAUAUAUGCAAAAAUUAAAAAAAAUGAGGAAGGCAACUACUAUUUAUAGGCAUGAGCUAUUUAUUAUAAUUAUUGGCCCAAAAAUAACUCAUUUCAAUAAAUUGGACAUUCAUCCACGCAGAUGAGGCAUCUGUUGGCGAAUGUCAGGGCGCAGGUGGCUCCAGAUCAUCAAAUUGGACCCCUAGUGGCACAUGUCAGGGCGUAGGUGGCUCUAGAUCAUCAAUUAGCUCCUCUUGAUUGCCCAAUGACUUCCUUCACUCCAAGCUACUCUCCACACAUGCUAUUGUACUUUUGGGGACUUGAAAAGGGUCCUCCAAAUACGUCCUUGCAUCUUUGAAAUGAUCAUGACUUGAAUUCCUUUGUGUCGAUCUUGAAUUGUACGUAUUAAAAGAUUAUUGCCGACUUAGCUUGUAUCAAAUACAGUAUGAAAUUAAAUUUAAUUAUUAAUAAUACAUUAAUUUUUGUAAGCCUCGAAAUAAUUCUUUGUUUUUUCUAUAUUUCUAUAAACAACCUUUCUUUACCUCCUUCAUUCACUUUUACUUUUUACUUUUAUUUGUUACUGUUGACCUAUUAAGAAAAGACAAUUAUUUAUUUUUAUGUUUAUCGUUAAUAUUAAUUCUUCAAAUCAUUUUUAAAAUGCAACACUAGAUAUCAGUUAAUUAAUAAAAGUAUUAUCGUAAAAUAGUCAUAACAAUUAUUAUUUUA
rnacentral:lncRNA from 1 species